rnacentral:rRNA from 1 species
AGAGUUUGAUCCUGGCUCAGGAUGAACGCUGACAGAAUGCUUAACACAUGCAAGUCUACUUGAACUUCGGUUUGGGUGGCGGACGGGUGAGUAACGCGUAAAGAACUUGCCUCACAGUUAGGGACAACAUUUGGAAACGAAUGCUAAUACCUGAUAUUAUGAUUUUAGGGCAUCCUAAGAUUAUGAAAGCUAUAUGCGCUGUGAGAGAGCUUUGCGUCCCAUUAGCUAGUUGGAGAGGUAACGGCUCACCAAGGCGAUGAUGGGUAGCCGGCCUGAGAGGGUGAACGGCCACAAGGGGACUGAGACACGGCCCUUACUCCUACGGGAGGCAGCAGUGGGGAAUAUUGGACAAUGGACCAAGAGUCUGAUCCAGCAAUUCUGUGUGCACGAUGAAGUUUUUCGGAAUGUAAAGUGCUUUCAGUUGGGAAGAAAAAAAUGACGGUACCAACAGAAGAAGUGACGGCUAAAUACGUGCCAGCAGCCGCGGUAAUACGUAUGUCACAAGCGUUAUCCGGAUUUAUUGGGCGUAAAGCGCGUCUAGGUGGUUAUGUAAGUCUGAUGUGAAAAUGCAGGGCUCAACUCUGUAUUGCGUUGGAAACUGCAUGACUAGAGUACUGGAGAGGUAAGCGGAACUACAAGUGUAGAGGUGAAAUUCGUAGAUAUUUGUAGGAAUGCCGAUGGGGAAGCCAGCUUACUGGACAGAUACUGACGCUAAAGCGCGAAAGCGUGGGUAGCAAACAGGAUUAGAUACCCUGGUAGUCCACGCCGUAAACGAUGAGUGCUAAGUGUUGGUCUCAUAAGAGAUCAGUGCUGCAGCUAACGCAUUAAGCACUCCGCCUGGGGAGUACGACCGCAAGGUUGAAACUCAAAGGAAUUGACGGGGACCCGCACAAGCGGUGGAGCAUGUGGUUUAA